UACGUAGGGUGCGAGCGUUAAUCGGAAUUACUGGGCGUAAAGCGUGCGUAGGCGGUUCGUUAAGUCUGUUGUGAAAGCCCCGGGCUCAACCUGGGAAUUGCAUUUGAUACUCUGGAGCUUGAGUACGGGAGAGGAGAGUGGAAUUCCCAGUGUAGAGGUGAAAUUCGUAGAUAUUGGGAAGAACACCGGUGGCGAAGGCGGCUCUCUGGACCGUAACUGACGCUGAGGCGCGAAAGCGUGGGGAGCAAACA
rnacentral:rRNA from 1 species